GACCCCAGGUCAGACGGGAUUUACCCGCUGAGUUAAGCAUAUCAAUAAGCGGAGGA
rnacentral:rRNA from 1 species